rfam:Erwinia mallotivora strain BT-MARDI contig_53, whole genome shotgun sequence.
GCCUAAACAGGUUGGCUUCCUGCGGGAAGCCACUGCACACGAAACAGUUUCGUGUUGGCGAGUCCAGCCCUGUUCCGUAUGCAGUACAAUUGACGCAUUCAGAUACUGGUAACACAUGAAUCCCAUCGUAAUUAACAAGCUACAACGCAAGUUGGGCUACACUUUUAGCC